ensembl:snRNA U6 U6 spliceosomal RNA
GUACUUGUUCUGUCAGCACAUAUACUAAAACUGGACUGGUACAGAGAAAGCAUGGCCCCUGUAUAAGGAUGACACACAGAUUUGUGAAGUGUUCCGUGUUUUU